rnacentral:lncRNA from 1 species
UUGUUGAUUGUUGUUUUGGUUGAUUGAACUCUUAGGAUCCCCAACAAACUGGUAUCAGAGCUAGGAGGAGUGAUAUUAGUCCAAAAUCGAUCAAAAACCAGCAAGAAAUCGCCAUUACCACAUUCUAACCGAAUCUGAAAAACUUGAUUUCCGGCCAACCUAUUGACUUUCCGGCGAAAUGGACCAUGGAACCAUGACCAGCAGGAGGAGGCGCACCCUGUGGUGGGGCGCGUGACCGGCGGCGGCGCGUGGCUCCGGCGAACUUUUUUCGGGCAGUUUACUUAUUUUGACGUCCUAAACGCACUGAUAUCGUUUGUUUUCUGUUUCAGAUUUUACAGAAAAAGUUGGACAAUUUUGCCCCUACCUUGACGUCUACGGCAAUUUGGUUCAGAAACUUGGUGGUAUAUUUACUGUUUGUCAACAGUAGUUUGGUAAGAUUAUUCCAAACUCUCCGUUAGGUUAGGUUUGGUAUCCUUACCGGUUUAUGCAUGGUUAUUGCUUGAUUGCUUAUUUGUGAAUUCUGUUGAUUGAAUUCUUGUGAUUAAUUUGUAACCUGGAAGCAUAUUUACCUG